AGCAGUGAUGAGCGAGAUGUGUGCGACCUGGUACUGUGGCGUCACCGCGCUGCUCUGACCAGGGGAUGACCUAAUAAUCUUCUCUCUGAGCUG